rnacentral:rRNA from 1 species
CGCGUAGGCGGUCCUUCAAGUUAGGCGUGAAAGCCCCGGGCUUAACCUGGGAUAUGCGCUUGAUACUGGAGGACUGGAGACUGGAAGAGGGUAGUGGAAUUCCCAGUGUAGAGGUGAAAUUCGUAGAUAUUGGGAAGAACACCGGUGGCGAAGGCGGCUACCUGGUCCAGUUCUGACGCUAAGGCGCGAAAGCGUGGGGAGCAAACAGGAUUAGAUACCCUGGUAGUCCACGCCGUAAACGAUGAGUGCUAGACGUCGGGAAGCUUAGCUUCACGGUGUCGCAGCUAGCGCAUUAAGCACUCCGCCUGGGGAGUACGGCCGCAAGGUUAAA